UACGUAGGGUGCGAGCGUUAAUCGGAAUUACUGGGCGUAAAGCGUGCGCAGGCGGUUCGUUAUGUCCGUUGUGAAAGCCCCGGGCUCAACCUGGGAAUGGCAAUGGAAACUGGCGGGCUCGAGUGUGGCAGAGGGGGGUGGAAUUCCGCGUGUAGCAGUGAAAUGCGUAGAGAUGCGGAGGAACACCGAUGGCGAAGGCAGCCCCCUGGGCUAACACUGACGCUCAGGCACGAAAGCGUGGGGAGCAAAACGG
rnacentral:rRNA from 1 species